GAGGGGCAAGGCCUAGAACCAUCGGGUUCGGUGCAUGACAAGAAAGAAAGCUAUUAUGGUGGAACCCCCUCCGAGCAUUUUAUCUCACUAGCUGCACCUAGUCACCAUCAAAGAAUACCCGCAAAAAUACAAAACCCAGGUCUCAAGUCUCAAGCGCGAGAGUAAUAACGUCAACUGCCCAGUUUAGAAAACCCAAGUCUGUUCCAUAUCUCCGUAGUUCAGGCUUCCAGUGCAUGCUUGGAAAUUUUUGAGAGAGAGUG